rnacentral:rRNA from 1 species
UACGUAGGGGGCAAGCGUUGUCCGGAUUUAUUGGGCGUAAAGAGCGUGUAGGCGGUCAGGUAGGUCCGUUGUGAAAACUCGAGGCUCAACCUCGAGACGCCGAUGGAAACCAUCUGACUAGAGUCCGGAAGAGGAGAGUGGAAUUCCUGGUGUAGCGGUGAAAUGCGGCAGAUAUCAGGAAGAACACCCGUGGCUAAGGCGGCUCUCUAGUACGGUACUGACGCUGAGGCGCGAAAGCGUGGGGAGCGAACAGG